rnacentral:lncRNA from 1 species
UGUAUCUUCUGUUCCCAAUGCUCCAGUCCCUGGAGAACCAAUGUCCCAGACCUGUAGCUAUACAGAGAAGCAGCGGGUGUCCUUCAUCAAGAUAACAUAAAUUUACUGACAAAAGGAAAUUCACAGACAGCAUGCUGGGGAAACAGGAGGAAGGAAAAGAAGCGCCAAGGAACUGGAGGUGUGGAGUCCAAUCCUGCUGUGCUCCUCUACUGUAACCUUGGCAGAGGCACCUAACUGUUCUGAGUAGUUUCCUCAACUGAGAAAGAGGAAGAGCUGCCUCACUGUGGUUGCAAAGAACAACAGUGUGUGCACGUAGAGCAGGUAUCCUCUGAGGACUCUGGCUUGCCCAUUGUUGUCGGCUUCUGUUCAGGACUUUUUGCCUCUCUUUGACCUCACAAAUGUAAAGGCGAUGAGGCAUGGGAAAGGGUGACUUUCAAAGGGCCCACUCACAGAUUCAGUGAGAAGCAACAUAUUAAAAGUUAUGCUUGGAUAGGACAAGACUAAUAAGCCUAGCUCUUUAAUGCAAACCAGAGCAUUAUUGCUCAACUGGGUUCAAGUGUAGACAGCUUCGGCUUGAGGGGAACUGUUGGUUUCCACUUAUCUGCUGAGUCUCUCAAAUCACCACACUGGCCAGUGCUCUUUCCACGCCACUCAAAACCUUUAGGGCAGGAGCCAAGUUGAUUUUUGCUAUUUUCAUUUGAAAUAGUUUUGUUCGGUCCAUCCCUUGCACUU